rnacentral:rRNA from 1 species
UUACGGCCAUAUCACGUUGAAACACCGGUUCUCGUUCGAUCACUGAUGUUAAACAACGUCGAGCCUAGUCAGUACCUAAAUGGAUGACCGCUUGGGAAUAUUAGGUGCUGUAA